rnacentral:rRNA from 1 species
GGGGCGAAAGACUAAUCGAACCAUCUAGUAGCUGGUUCCCUCCGAAGUUUCCCUCAGGAUAGCUGGCGCUCUCGCAGGCGUUUGAACCCCCCACGCAGUUUU